GGCCACAACUCUCUCUCUCUCUCUCUCUCUCUCUGUCUCUCUGUCUCUCUGUGUCUCUCUGUGUCUCUGUCUGUGUCUCUCUGUGUCUCUCUGUGUCUCUCUGUGUCUCUCUGUGUCUCUCUGUGUCUGGUAGCUAGAUGGAAAGACAUGGGACCUUUUCUCUACAAGACUCCAGUAGUCUGACAAGCACCAUUAAGCUGAAAUUACCCACAAGACAACAAGAGGUCUCUACCUCCAUAUCUCUUAAUGAUAACCUGCUCACAAGACAACAAGAGGUCUCUACCUCCAUAUCUCUUAAUGAUAACCUGCUCACAAGACAACAAGAGGUCUCUACCUCCAUAUCUCUUAAUGAUAACCUGCUCACAAGACAACAAGAGGUCUCUACCUCCAUAUCUCUUAAUGAUAACCUGCUCACAAGACAACAAGAGGUCUGGGAAGAGGUCUCUACCUCCAUAUCUCUUAACGACGGCCUGCGCAGCUUCUAUAACCAC
ensembl:lncRNA